UAAGGAAUAUUGGUCAAUGGACGCAAGUCUGAACCAGCCAUGCCGCGUGAAGGAUGAAGGUCCUCUGGAUUGUAAACUUCUUUUAUCUGGGACGAAAACGGGAUUUUUAUCUCAAUUGACGGUACCAGAGGAAUAAGCACCGGCUAACUCCGUGCCAGCAGCCGCGGUAAUACGGAGGGUGCGAGCGUUAUCCGGAUUUACUGGGUUUAAAGGGUGCGUAGGUGGGCUUAUAAGUCAGUGGUGAAAUCUCCGAGCUUAACUUGGAAACUGCCGUUGAUACUAUAGGUCUUGAAUUAUCUGGAGGUCAGCGGAAUACGUCAUGUAGCGGUGAAAUGCUUAGAUAUGACAUAGAACACCAAUUGCGAAGGCAGCUUACUACAUAUAAAUUGACGCUGAGGCACGAAAGCGUGGGGAUCAAACA
rnacentral:rRNA from 1 species